CACUUAUGUGGUCAUUGUGAAUAUUGUUGAUCAGAACAGCAAAAGGACUCACUAGUAAGCAUAUUGCUAAGACAUAUCAUUAAAAACCUGUUGGCCAUACCCAAGGAGCACCAGGAGCCUGUAGAACAGCACAGGUUCUUCUUACCCUUUUACAUGUAAGACUUUAAAGAAUCGGUUUUCAACCUGUGAGUUUCUAGUCCCUUGUGAAUCGGCUAUCAGAUAUUUCCAUUAUGAUUCACAACAGUAGCGACAUUUCAGUUAUGAAGGAGCAAUGCAAUAAUUUUAUGGUUGGGGUUCUCCCCAACACAGGAACUGUAUUGAAGGGUACCAGCGUUAGGAAGGUUGAGAAUCAUUGCUUUAAAGGUUUUCUGUGUUCAGACAUUCUCUGAGGAUACAAUCCUUUUCCUAGCCAAGGAAGUUCAAGACUCCUUAUUUGAUGACAAUUGGCUGUUUUGGUUCUGCUUUCUCAGCUUCUCUUUCCCCUGGGACAACCCGGUGCUUUGUUGGUAAUCAGCGCUAUGUUCCAUCCCUGUGUGCUCUGAACACUGUGUUUGUUCUGUGCUGGAGCCCUGCUUUCUGUAGACUGUCUUGUCCACCCUCCUUGCUGCUCCUUCCAUGCUUCCCAGACUGAAGCCUUGGAGUCCAGCCUCUCAGACUCUGAUGCAGCCUUUAUGCAUCUCUUUGAGCACAUGACACACUGAGGGACCUCUGUCCCCCAUGGCACAUUGCCUCAGUGUUCAGUCACCCCUCUGUGCUCUCUUGGACUAUAACUUAUCUUAUAGCCUCACUUGAAUCUUUGCUAAUCUGUAAUAUUUUUGGCUUUGGGUCUGGCUGACACCAAAUGUCAUUUAUCUUGCAGUAUCUCGUUGACAUUUAACACUGUCUUGGCUAGUAGGUAGAAUUUAAAUGUGUUAGGUAUUAUCCAGGACCAGCAGAGCAUAAAGUAAUACUUUGUAUCCUGAUACAAGAUUGUGAUUUCAGGGCCACACAGCACAGCACAUCAUGCAAGAUGGGAUAGUGUCUUAGGUUUCCAUUUCUGUGAAAAGACACCAUGACCAAGGCAACUAGUAUAAGGCACAACAUUUAAUUCGGGCUGGCUUACAGGUUCAGAGGUUCAGUCCUUUCUCUUCAUAGCAGAAAGCACAGUAGCAUCCAGGUAGGCAUGGCUCUGGAGAAGGAACUGAGAGUUCUAUAUCUUCAUCCAUAGGAAGUGGGGAGCAGACUGUCUCCCAAGUGGCUAGGAGAAGGGUAUCAAAAUCCCACCCCCGAGAGUGAUAGACUUCCUCCAAAAAGCCACACCUACUCCAACAAGGUCAUACCUCCUAAUACUGCCACUCCCUGGGCCAAGCAUAUUCAAACCACCAGAUAGCAAUGACAUAAAAUAUUCUACGCACAGUUUUAUAUAUUUGAGGAAUUUACUUCAGAGAGACCUUAUUACCUCCUUGAUUAUCAGGCACACCUAAAUUCAGUUUUCUUAGGGGGAUUUGGGGAAAUGUUGUUUCAUGGUUUGCUUUUGCAAUAGUUCCUGCUUUUAUUUUGCUUCCUCUGCUCCCCUUGUGGAACUCAAUGGCAGUAUUUGAACUUAGAAGCAUGGUCCAGGGGGAGGAAUCAAUUUACUCGUCAUCAUUCUUACCAGGACAAGGAAGAUGUCUGUCAGUGUUUGCUGUAUCCUCUGUCCGCAGUAUUUGGAGUCAGAGGGUGUCAGGAAAUAUCAAGGGCCACAUAGUAGCUACAUAGUCUGUCUUUUGAUUAAAAGUUUCAGGUUCAAAAAGCUAGUGUAUCCUGUUUAACAUUUCUUCUUUUAUUUCAAUGUAAAUCUAAAUAUUUCUUGUUGGAAGCCAGAACCUUCCCCUGUCUCCUAUUUCUCUUUUAGGUAACAAUGACUGUUUAUCCUCAGUGAUUUCAAGGUUAGAGUAUUAGCUUAGUUAGAUUGCCUGCUGUUAACUCUAGUAUGCUCCUACGACAUAUAAAAUAAAGAAGCUCCGUUAUUGAAGAGACUGUCUAAUUGCACACAACAGAACACUUUUCAAGGCUGCUCACGGCUCUGUUGGCUCUGCAAAGGCUCCUGGUGUGUGGUCAAAAUGAACCCUUACACCUUGGUCAGUUUUCAGCUCUCGACAUCUUUCUGUUGAUGAGAUCAUGAUUUUCUACCACAUAGGAUGAAAUUUCUUUUUCCCGUGGGCAUACAUCCUAUUCUAUUGGACAGUUAUUAUGAUUCUGUCUUUUGAGUUAUCAGUAGCUAAGCUAGUGUAAUUGGAAAAACUUCCUUCCCCCAACUUUUAGUAGUGAUACCUUCCAGCGCUUCCCGAGGUGUUAGUUGUUGGAAACGGUUUUAGCCUAAGAAGAUCUUCAUCUGAUAAAAGUAUUGAUUGAGAAGGAGGAGGACUGCCAAAAUUCAAUUCUGUUCCUCAUUUUCUGGAACUUUUGGUCUAUCCUGGAAGGCUUGUCACUGAAUCAGAAAUGAAACUCCUUGGAGCUGGCCAGUGAUCUGAUUAUCACUGCGUCAUUUUCCUUUUGAGGACUGAUGCUUCAACAAGGUGAAGCAGGGCGUGUUUUACUUAGGGGGAGAUUAACUGAGUGAUACAUUGUUUCUUAGGUAAAGGCUGUAGGUGAAUGGAUGAAAAGAAGCUGUUGGCACAUAUGUCAACACUCCGUGGACCUCAGCCACUUUGCCCUGUUUUCCUGCUUACUCUGCUAAGACAAUGUUAGCUUUAAACUGCCCAAGCUUAGCCUGUUUCCCUAAGUUCAGAACUGCACUUACGUUUUUGUUUUUUUUUUUAACUUAACAUUUAGUAUCUUUUCUUUUCUCUUAUAUGUUAUAAAGGCACAUUUAAGACAAAGAAUCUGAUGACCUGGUAGAUCAAUUUACUAUAAGUUUUAAUAGAAGUUUUAAAUUUUUACAUAGAGGUCUGUUUAGUUUAGAUCAGGAUAACACAUUUUCUUCCUUAAGGACUGAGAUGGAAAUGGCUUGACUUUUUUCUUGGGGGGAGGCGCUUGUUUUGGGGUGACAUAUUACUCUAGCAAUGUCCUUACUGGAAGUUAGUUUCGUUGUAGCCCCUUUCUCCUUUAAAAGACACAGUAUCUUUACUGGCUGCCAGCUCUACUUACAGGAGUAUUUGAAAACAUUCUGGUGGAAAUUUGUCUCUCUGAUUUGUGUGUGAAGCCACCAUUCGAUUCCAGUGUGCUAACAGCAAGAGAAGACUCUCUCCCCUUUAAACAUUGGAUGAUGGUCAAUUUAAUCGAUGCCAUUAGAAACUAGAUCAUUUUCAUGAGGAGUUUAUUAAUGCUGAUUUGUAGGCCAGCUUAAAUGACACUUUAAAGAAGUUAAUUGUCCAGGGAGAAUUAAUUGCAGUAUUAAUGGGGCUAGUGAUUUGUGGGGAAUGAGAGGUAGAGAGAAAGUAGGAGAAGACACAAGUAAUAGACACCACUUAAUGUUUAUUUGUGACCAGGAGACCAGGACACAAUUUCUGAGUAAUCCUGUGCCUGCUUCAGCCCUUUCAAACAGCAGCGUGACUGCCUUUUUAAGAAUGCAGCGACACAUCUCAGCUUUGCUCGCCUUACUUUCUGCUCUAUCUCCUGAUGCAAUUAUCUCCACAUGGUCUCAAAUCUUCCAAGAUCAUGCCCGUAUGGGAGACAAAAGAAGGCAGAUCCUGUGUUGAUAAAGGGCACUUGGAGUUCCCCAAACACCCAGUUUCCAGGCAUGUGGAGGAUUCAGUAUUCUGUCAUUGCUUUUUCUCGGAUGCCCACUGAGAGCCAGAGGAAGCCUCGCUGACACCCUGAGGUGUGUGGAGGUGUAAUUUACUGGUGCCCAGGGCCUGCUGCCUGCGCUUUUCAUUCCACCUUCCUGGGGAAGGAGGACAGUGUAAUUUCAAAACUGGGAUUGUGAUUAUGGCUUUCUGAGCUACCGGCUGCCUGUUGGGCAUGUU
rnacentral:lncRNA from 1 species